AAAGUGGAGUGAGGAAGAAGUUUGUUGAUUUGAAGGGACCGAGUUAGGGAGUGAAGUCCAGGUAAAAACUGAGGGACACAGAAAAGAAGACAAUGAGAUGAUGACUGUGUCGGGCUGAGAAUGAGCAGUGCAUUUCGGGCUGCUGAUUCGUACGAUGGACUGAAUAUUUGUGUCCUCCUAAAAUUAUACAUUGAAAUUCUAACCCACAGUGUAUUUGGAGAUGGAGAAUUUAAGAGGGUACAGUAGAAGUCACCAGUCUACAACCUAGAAGAGGCCCUUCACUAUGCUGGCACCCUGAUCUCAUAUUUCCAGCUUCCAGAACUGUAAGAAAUAAAUUUUUGUUGUUUAUGACCUAUCCAGUCUAUGCAGCCUGAACUAAGACUCUUGGCAGUGGAUAGCUGCUGUAGCUCUGGCUGUAAGAAGAGCUGUUGCUAAGACCAGCUCCUAAGCCCUUGGUUCAUUUCAGCUGGGAGUCUGGAGGACAGGAGUCAGUUGUCCCCAGGAACACUUCUGCAAAUCUGUAAUCCCAGUGUAGAGAUCCAUGUUGCAUGUUCUUUGUUCCAAAAAUGCAGACAACUCAAUACAGUUGCUCAUUUUUAGACUUUAUAUUAUGAGAGGAAAGCAACUGCUAUAAUCGUGGGGGCAUGGAGCAGAGUGGACAGAGUGUAGGCUUUGGAGACAGAGCUAGGUUUACUUUUCUCUGUUCCCUUUGACCUUGAACUUUUCUGAGUUUCAUUAUUAGUAAAGCAGAGGUAAUAAAUGCCCAUCUGAUUUAAGAAAACAAUAAAUUGAAGCUAUAUUUCUAAAUCGUAACAAUAUCUUCUAAGCCCAAAUACUGUUUUUCAAAUAUUCCAAAGAGAUAGAUGGCAGCUUGCUUCCUUUAUCAUUGGUUGGCUUCAGCAGCUAUGACAUUUACCCCCAGUACAACCAUUUUUCGUUGAGACAAAUGCCUUUUCUCCUCAGAGGAUCUUCCUCUUCCUGACAGAGCCCAGAGGAUCCCCGUGAACCUCCUUCCGCUCCCUCCCCUCGGGAUCUAGGAUCAUACUAGCCCUGUCUCAUUGCACUCAUUACUCAGCCCAGGGAGGACUGGUAAGAAGUCCCUCUGUGGCUUAUUGACAUCAACUCUGAGGAUGUGCAAGAUGGAUUAAGAAAAGGCAUCUGAUAGCUUUUACUUUUCAGGAAGCCAAAUGUUUUUCAAAUCAGAAGCCAAAGGAUUUAGCACAGGGAGGCUAGGACUGCAUUUCUGUCAAGGGGGAGACAGCUAAACUCCCUUUCCCCUGAGGCCCUUCUGUAUUUCCCACUGGGCUGCACUGCCCUGUCAUGCUUUAAGCCUUCCCUUCCUGGU
rnacentral:lncRNA from 1 species